GAUUUACAAAAUCCAUCAAUGGGUGAAGAACAUUUCAGAUGAGAUCACUUUAGCUGCCAAGGUGUGAUCUGAUAAUCACACUGUUACAGUGAGGUGCAACCCAAGCUGGAGAGAGAAAUCAUCUUCUAACUGGGCACAGAGCUGGUGUCUGGAAUGACCAUCAAACUCUCUGAUGCCCUUCCUGUCUCUAUGAGAAUGGGGCAUUUCUGUCAUCUCCAAUCUGUGACCUGGCUCAGUUUGACUGUCUCCAUUGGUAUUAUUCCCUGUUCCCACUGAGCUGCAUGGGGGCCUGGCCCCACAGUAAAUGAAACACUCACACAAAUAGCAUUGUUAACCUGCAGCUGGGAUUUUCUUUUAUGUACUGUUAAUUUAAAGUACCACAGUUUAAUGCCAUGUAAAUAUCUCCUACUCAGAUGCAUAGUUGCUCUGCACAGCUGUGCUGUCUUUACGACAGUUAUUUAGUUUAUAAUAUUUUCGCUUAGUAAUUCAUUCAAUAGUAUUUUCUAGUUAGAAUUAGAAGUGUUUAAAGUGUAUUCAUUGCAUGUAAAAUAUAUCGGCAUGCGAUGACGUCACAUCCGGUUUCGCCGCGUCUUGUGGGAAAAUACCGGUUUGAAAUUAGCGCGAGGGUGGGGGCUUUCCACGAGGCUCACCUGAGCACAAGCAGUUUUGCAGGCAUGAGAAAUCACAGUGAGAGCAACGCUGUAAGUUAAUAGAUAAUCGAUAUAUUGAACUAAGAUGUUAAUGCUGAUCCUGUUAGAGGUAGCGACGGUAGAUAAUGUUUAUGCUUUCGUUAGUUAAAGAGUCGCGGAUAGUUUGCAUGGAAGUGUAUUUAAAGUAGUCAAUGGAGCAGGUAAACUCUCCCUGUAUACUGCACCUUAGUGUAAUGUAGUUAUAGUCACCUUUGCAAGUAUUUACACUUGAAAUGUGAUAUUAAGGAAGGAACAAAUACUGUAUCAAUCUUGUAUUGUUUUAUCAACAGUUUUCACCAUAUGUUAAUGUGAAGAGUGAACAGUAAAUGGUUAAUCUUACUGCGAUCUGGUUCUUAUUAACUGUGGUUUAUCCGGACGUUAAAUUCGGCGUUUCGUUACACCCGAAGGAGAACGUUACAGUGAAAAAGCGGCAUUAUCAGGUGUUUCAAGUGCUGCAAUGUCAGCUCAAUCCAGCAUCAAGUCGACGCCGCCCAGCGACAAGGGCAGUAAACCGACAUCAAGUAAGCCCACCCAGGCGUUAUCAGGUGUUCCAAGUGCUGCAAUGUCAGCUCGAUCUGGGAUCAAGUCGAUGGCACCCAGCGACAAGGGCAGUAGAACGACAUCAAGUAAGUCCGCACAGGCAAGAGCCAAGGCAGAAGCCGCCAAGGUGCGACUGCAUUACGCCAAACAAGAAGCAGUUUUGAAAAUUAAACUGGCUGCCAGAGAAGCCGAAAGGGCCGCCAGAAAGGCAGAAGCCGCCAAGGUGCUACUGCGUUACGCCAGACAAGAAGCAGUUUUGAAAAUGAAACUGGCCACCAGAGAAGCCGAAAUCCAGAAAGAAAGGGCCGCCAGAGAAGCCGAAAGGGUCGCCAGACAAAGAGAAGAGGCUGCCAGAGAAGCCGAAAUCCAGAAAGAAAGGGCCGCCAGAGAAGCCGAAACCCAGUUGGAAAUGGCAAAAAUAUCGACAGAGUUGCAAGUGCUGCAGCGAGAAAGAGAAGAAGAAGCUGCCAUGGCGGAAGCAAAGUACAUAGAAGAAGCUGAAGGGUCGCGUGAUCUGACCGAAGCAAGAUCUACUUUAGAAAGGACCAGACUGGAACGCACAAACGACUAUGUACAAUCUCAAAUAGACAGGCAGGCUCGUCUUCCCUCUCCAUACGUAUUCGAUAACUUCCCCAGCUACGAGGAACCUCAGAGAGUCACGAUUGCAUCACAUCCAUACGAGGAAGGAAAUUUACCCUCACGGCUCCGUGACGAAGUCAAGAAUGAAAGAACCGACAACGCUCCUUCACCCCCACAACAGGACGGCGGGGAGGGAGAGGUUCACUCCAGGACAACAAUUGUCAGCUCGAACUGUACAGAAGUUUGCGGUCAAACUCAGUCAAGCCGUUCUUGUUCCGAGAUCUGCCUCACUGAGGUGUACCCUAAAGAAGCACAACAAGACAUUACCAAGUAUAAAGUAACCGACGAGACGCUAGGUCAGUCAGUUUUCGUUCAAACGAAGUAUGACAACAAACUUGCACAAUCAGCUCAAGAUACCAUUUCUUUAAAACCCAAAGACACCAAGGUCUUCAGAGAUGAAGCAAAUAAUGGGGUUGCCCCAUUGCCAAUCAGAGAACCACGCCAGCGCUCACCAGAUAACAAAGAGCAGGCAGUCAAACGGUUCACGUCCUUACGGAAAAUCUGGAAAAGGAAACCUGAGAUACAGCAACGCACCCGAUUGGCCCACGAGGUACUGUGCACCCUAAUGGCAGAGGUCACAGCCAUUAUAAACGCACAAUCAUUCCUACCUGUGUCUUCUGACCCAGAAAACCCCUUUAUACUUUCGCCAUCAACGCUCCUUAUGCAGAAGGCAGGAGCACCUCCUCCACCAGGAGACUUUUCAGACAGGGAUCUGUACACAAAGCAAUGGAGACAAGUCCAGGCUCUGGCAAAUCAGUUCUGGCCUCGCUGGAGACAAAAAUAUCUACCUUUGUUGCAACAGAGACAAAAGUGGACAGGACCCCACAGGAAUCUGGCCAACGGCCAGAAUCACUGCUACAUUCCCUAGCGAGGAUGGACAUGUCAGGAAGAUCGAAUUGAAGACUACCGACCAAGGCGAUGUGAAAAUUUACCAAGGGCCAGUUACAGAAGUUAUUCUACUUCUACCCAAUGACUGAUUAAGAGACUAAGUUUUGUACUCUGCUCAUUGUGACCUUACGAAGGUCAAGCGGGGAGUGUGCUGUCUUUACGACAGUUAUUUAGUUUAUAAUAUUUUCGCUUAGUAAUUCAUUCAAUAGUAUUUUCUAGUUAGAAUUAGAAGUGUUUAAAGUGUAUUCAUUGCAUGUAAAAUAUAUCGGCAUGCGAUGACGUCACAUCCGGUUUCGCCGCGUCUUGUGGGAAAAUACCGGUUUGAAAUUAGCGCGAGGGUGGGGGCUUUCCACGAGGCUCACCUGAGCACAAGCAGUUUUGCAGGCAUGAGAAAUCACAGUGAGAGCAACGCUUUUUCACCAUAUGUUAAUGUGAAGAGUGAACAGUAAAUGGUUAAUCUUACUGCGAUCUGGUUCUUAUUAACUGUGGUUUAUCCGGACGUUAAAUUCGGCGUUUC